AGCAGCCGCGGUAAUUCCAGCUCCAAUAGCGUAUAUUAAAGUUGUUGCAGUUAAAAAGCUCGUAGUUGAAUUUCGGGAUCAAUAUGUUGGUCGUGCCUCGGUACGUACUAGCAUAUUGGUUUCUCCUUUCUGAAGAACCAUGAUGUCAUUCAUUUGGUGUCGUGGGGAAUCAGGACUGUUACUUUAGAAAAAAUUAGAGUGUUUAAAGCAGGCUCACG
rnacentral:rRNA from 1 species